rnacentral:rRNA from 1 species
ACAGAUGGGAGCUUGCUCCCUGAUGUUAGCGGCGGACGGGUGAGUAACACGUGGGUAACCUGCCUGUAAGACUGGGAUAACUCCGGGAAACCGGGGCUAAUACCGGAUGCUUGAUUGAACCGCAUGGUUCAAUUAUAAAAGGUGGCUUUUAGCUACCACUUACAGAUGGACCCGCGGCGCAUUAGCUAGUUGGUGAGGUAACGGCUCACCAAGGCAACGAUGCGUAGCCGACCUGAGAGGGUGAUCGGCCACACUGGGACUGAGACACGGCCCAGACUCCUACGGGAGGCAGCAGUAGGGAAUCUUCCGCAAUGGACGAAAGUCUGACGGAGCAACGCCGCGUGAGUGAUGAAGGUUUUCGGAUCGUAAAACUCUGUUGUUAGGGAAGAACAAGUACCGUUCGAAUAGGGCGGUACCUUGACGGUACCUAACCAGAAAGCCACGGCUAACUACGUGCCAGAGCCUAGGCAGUGGGGUGCU